CCCACCCAAGGUCACACUAGUGACAGAGCUGGAAUUAAAUAAAGGGUCCCUCCCACUGUAUAGCAUUUCAUCUCACCCCCUCCACCAGUGCUCUUGUUAUCUUAUAAUUAGCCCUGAGGCAAAAACAAAAAAAGAAUCCGCACACCCAACUAUCAUUAGAUCUUUCUGCAAGCCUUGGCUGGCACCAUGAUGCGGCAAGCAUACAACAGUAACUGAACCAGGUGAGACCCAGACCCCACCCUGGUUUGCUGCCCAGAUCAGGAAGCAGAUACCUGUCACCAGGAAGAGUGCGACCAAGUGCUACAGACAGGGACCAAUGGAGAGCCCCAGGAAGGAUUUGUAGAGGAGAUUCUGCAUUUUGAGCAGAACACAAAAGCAGAUCAGGUGGAUUUUCCAAGGAGAGUUGGAGCAAGAUGACCACACAGAGGAACUGGUGUCUGCACAGAUGUGAGACCAAACACCUUGGUCCACAGGGAUAGGUGCUGUCCCCCUAGGGGUGGAGAGUGAAGAGGGCAGGGGAUCACACUGCUGAGAGGAUUAAAUGCUCUGCUGGACGCUGAAUGUUUCUCUUGCGAGUCAUUUUUGAGUAGAGUAACAAGGUCAAAGCCACCUUAGAACUUUGGUGCCCAUUUGAGACCCAGGUUCCUUGGCCACCGUAAAUUAACCCUUCAG
rnacentral:lncRNA from 1 species